rnacentral:tRNA from 1 species
GCUUCCUUAGCUCAGUCGGUAGAGCGCGAGUCUCAUAGGACUACCGCUGCGGUGGCUAAUCUCGAGGUCGCAAGUUCGAGCCUUGCAGGGAGCA